UACAGAGUUGUACUGUGGGCGAAAGUACAAAAACAAGUAAUAAACAAGUUGAAUUUGAGAUGGGUACCUGUGAAACUUCCAGUUAGAGAUGUUAAAGAUGUUGGACAUAAUUGAUCUGCAUCUCCAGAGAGUGGUCAAAGUGAGAGUUAAAAAUGUACAGGUAGUAGAAUGUAUUACUCCAAAUUUAAAAGAGUCUGAGCUUCUCAAGGAGAAUUAUGUAUUCAAGUUUCAAGUCCCUCAUGACUAUCACAGACCCUUAUAAAAGUAGUGCUCAAUAAAGGUUAAAUUGAACAUAUCCUCAUAGAUACUGAUUUUAUUUAGGAUGUACACACUUUCAGCACUUGAGAUUAAUAUUUAUUCAAUGAAUAAGAAACCAUAAGAAAGGAAACUAUAAGAAAGAUUUGAGACAUGAUUUCUGCCUUUAGGAAUAUUUUAAUUUGGUUGGGAGAUUAAAACAAACAAUGCUUUGAAAAAUUAAGAAGCAAUAAUCAAUUGUCCAUCAUCGAGUUUUAGCUGCUGUUGUAUUUAGGUGAGAAGAAAGUUUAACAGAGACUUGAAAUGCUAGAGAAAGCUCUAAAUAGGUGGAAUUUUAGUUGGUCCUUGAAAAAUGCACAUCUUUGGGAAAAAAGAGAAAGAGAACAUUUUAGUUUGAGGAAUUGGCAUGGAUAAAGGCUUAGAAGCUGGAGUUUAGGUACAUGCUUGUGUGACUUCAAUGACACUCGUUUCAAUGCAGUUUAAGUGCUGAGGAGUGGUAAGAAAGCUGGAGAGAUCAGUCACAUGGAGUCAUGGAGGGUCUUAAACUAGCCAGAGAUAUUGGAAUUGCUUUAGUAGAUAACACAGAAUUAAAUAAGAAUGCUCUUAAGUGGGUGUGACAAUUUUUAUUAUAUUUUCAUGAAUAAUCUAGAAGUGGUGUGUCAGAGGACUUGAAUGAAGGAGGGGACAGGAAGCAGGGAAACCUGUCUGGACACCUUUCAAGUAAUCUAAGUCUAAACUUAUUAGGUCCAGGACUAAGGGAAAACCAAGGAAAUGGAUAAAAUGGGGUAAAUUUGAGAGACAUUUCAAUAAGAGAAAUGACAAAAUUUGGCAUCAGAUUAGGAAUCAGCACACAAAAAUAGAAAUAAGUCAAAGAUAAGCCUAGAAUAAUAGUGAUAUCCUGGACAAAUAGCUAAUGUCAAGAAGAGUCAAUAAUUCAUGAAUUCAUAGAAAUUUAGAAACAGGAGCUUAGAAAUGAUAUCUAUAGACACCGCUUUUCAGAGAUGAGGAAAUUAACAGAGAGCUUGAGUGACUAGUUCCUGGUCACCCUGCCUGGGCGACAGAUCGAGACUCCGUCUCAAAAAAAAAAAAAAAAAAAAAAAGAAAAGAAAAAAGAAAAUAGCUAGAAUCCUAGAGGAUUUACCCUGGAAGCAGUUGGUUUAAUGCUACCCGUGGGAGAUCAAUGUUGGAUGGAUGGAUUUGGGAGCAUCUGAAAGGCAGUUGGAGCCAUGGGAGUGGUUGUGCUCUUCCAGUGAGAGAUUAUAUAGGGAAGAAAAAAGAGGAGCAAAGAUAAAGUCACAGGAAAUAUCUACAAUUAGGGAUUCAAACUAGAAGGAAGAUGGUUCCCAAAGAAGUCAGGUAAGGAUCAAACAGACGUGAGGAGUCCUCGUGCAGUGGUUACAGGCACUUUGUGGGGUUGAGGUGGGUGGAUCACUUGAGGCCAGGAGUUUGAAAACAGCUUGGCCAACAUGGUGAAACCCUGUCUCUACUAAGAAUACAAUAACCAGGUGUGGUGGUGCACGUCUGUAAUCCCAGCUACUUGGGAGGCUGAGGCAGGAAAAUCACUUGAACCCAGGAGGCAGAGGUUGCAGUGAGCCAGGAUCGUGCCACUGCACUCCAGCCUGGGCAACAGAGCAAGGCUCUGUCUCAAAACAAACAAACAAAUGAAAAAGCAGACAUGAGGAACGAUUAGAGGUGGCCAGAGUCAGAUUCUGUGGCAUGUUCCCUUAUGAUGAGUUCUGAGUUUUGUUAUUUAUUUUGCACAAAACUGAGUAUCCUAUGGCAUUUCACUGUGAACAUCACUAUAUACUCAUCAUGGUUUUUCUCUGCCAAUACUUUGAUAUUCCGUGUCAGUUUUUUCCUUAUGCAUGGUCCUUUGAUUAUUAAUGUUCAAUAAUAUAAUGAGUUAACAUGAACAAAUGUUUGUUUGAAACACUGACAAUAAUCCACCUGUGUACUACUCUCCCUCUUCCUGUCCCUGCCUUCCCACCCCCAGUGUAAGUACUACUCUUAGGAUUUUUAUGUAGUUUUAUCACUGUAGGUAUACCUACUAAAUAAUUUUUUAAGUUACUUUUUUUUUUUUUUUUAGAUGGAGUCUCACUCUGUUGCCAAGGCUGGAGUGCAGUGGCGUGAUCCCGGCUCACUGCAACCUCUGCCUCCUGGGUUCAAGCAAUUCUCCUGCCUCAGCCUCCUGAGUAGCUGAGAUUACAGGCAUGCAACACCAUACCUGGCUAAUUUUUGUGUUUUUAGUAGAGACGGGGUUGCACAAUGUUGGCCAGGCUGGUCUUGAACUCCUGACCUCAGGUGAUUCGCCCACCUCGGUCUCCCAAAGCACUGGGAUUACAGGCAUGAGCCACUGUGCCUGGCCUUAAGUUACUUUUUUAUGUAGAGGGGGUUUUAUGUUAUUAGUAAUCUUUGAAACUUAUGUUUUCAUGCAUUAUGUUUUUAAGAUUCAUCUGUAUUGUAUGUAGCUGUAGUCCGUUCAUUUUUGCUGCCUUAUAGAAUUCCAUGUUUGAAUGCCACAUUUUAUUUUCCUGUCAAUCGCCGUUUAAUUUCAAGUAGUUUAGGUUGAUUUGAAUAGUGCAACUAUAAGCAUACUUGGACAUGUCUGCUCGUGUAUAUUGCAAUGACUUCUAUUGGGUGUAUAUCUAUUUACACUGAUCUUAAACUCCUUCUGUGAAGCAUAACACAUUAGAAAGGCAUUAGGUGAAUUUUCUGAUUGUGGAAAUUUGAGUCUAAAAGAAUCAACAACUUUCCCUAAGGUGAAUAGAUUCAAAUAUCACCCUAGGAGCUGUGCAUAGUGUGUACUCUAGAUAAGGGUUAGUUACCAAAUGUUUUCUUGGGGGCAAAAUUAUAAGCAACAGUUGGUGACUGAUUUUUUUCCACUGACCCAAUUUAAUGUCAAUGUUAUUUUCAGGAUACAAAAGGAAAACUGAAGGCUAGGGGCAAGGAAAGAGGUAACAGAUUAACUGAAGCAUUAGAAUUGCUCUGCAGCUAUUCCAGAAAAAUUUACCUUCAUCUCCUUUGAGAGUCCCCUUACUCUACCUAGCAGCCUUCCUUGCUGUGAGAGGGUGAACAAUAUGAACAAAAAGAAGCAAGGAAAAGGGCUCUGUCGGAUUUGUUCACUCAGAACCAGUUGAUAGUCUGCCAAGAAAAGUUUCUCACCCUCAAGAGGUUCUGAGCUUAAAAGUCUCUUUGUGAACACGUGAGAAAGGAUCCUUCCCUGCUCAGGAAUCCUGCAUGUAUUUAUGUGUGUGUGCGUGGGCACGAAGGUUUGGAGGAAAGUGGACACUGGACUGAUACAGUACUAUUUUUUUGGAAGUGUUACAAACAUCUUCUCGCUUACAUUAAAAUUGUUGCUAUACCCUGAAUUACAAUAACCCUCUUGUUGAAACAUCACUCAUUUUUACUUGCAAUAAUCACACUUAGAAAUUACACGUAUUUCUCAGCCAAACAACGUAAUUUCCUGCUUUAACUGAGCAUCUUAGCCUUGCACCCAGUGACAAACCUCUCUACCUAUUUCACAUCCACCUCACAGAGUGGAAGGAAGGGAAUGAAAAUCUUAUUAUUUAUGGAUAUAGAAAUUGAGAACAAUACAAAGGGGCCAAUGAAUCAGAGGUGCCAUUCUGCCUUACAGUGGGGUCUUCUUUGCCAGGACCUCAGGCACGAUUCUUGUGAUCUCUGUCUUCUACUCAUUUGCUGUAUUCCCAUUCUUCUUUUUUUCUUAGAAAACUGGUUUUUAAGAAAACAUUAAAAGGCCGGUGCAGUGGCUCACGCCUGUAAUCCCAGCACUUUGGGAGGCCAAGGUGUGUGGAUCACCUGAGUUCAGGAGUUCAAGACCAGUCUGGCCAACAUGGAGAAACCCCAUCUCUACUAAAAAAAAAAAAAAAAAAAAAAAAAAAAAAAAAAAAAAAAAUUAGCCAGGCGUGGUGGCAGGCGCCUGUAAUCCCAGUUACUCAGGAGGCUGAGGCAGGAGAAUUGCUUGAACCCGGGAGGCAGAGGUUGCAGUGAGCCUAGAUCACACCAUUGCACUCCAGCCUGGGCAACAGACUGAGACUCCAUCUCAAAAACAACAACAACAACAAAACAUUAAAUAGUAUACAAAUGCCAUGCAUUUAAGUGGAACACAGUGCCAACACAUUACCAAUUAUUCCAAGCACAUACAUGAAACAUACAUAUAGAAAGUAUUGUUUCCAAAUUGGAAUGUGCAUUCUACAAGGAAAUAUUUAAAUCAAAAUGAAAUAGCGGGGCUUCAUCCUUCUUUGGACAGUACUUUAAAGCAGAGCAAGGAACCAUAGCUCUUUUUCCUCACUGUAUCAAAUGAGGAUGCAUUUCCCAAUUUGUUUAUUCUCCCCCUCAAAGAGUGCUGGAUCUAAGUUGUGCCCAAUUAAGGUCUGUGCUUACAAGUACAUGCCUGUAGCGUCAAUGUUAUUUGAAAAUUCUUUAUGUAAACUUAUUCAGCAUUUAUCCAAACAUAAUAUUAAUCUUUAAGGCUUUUAGAUUUAGCCCUAUAAAGUACUAUUAUCAUUGUAUGUUUACCCAUCUUCAGUUUCCCAUAACAAAAUAUUCAAAUUUGUCUGUAAAUAUGUAGAGGGUAGAAAAGGUGAAUUCUUCUUGUAGAAAGAGCAUUAACCGGAGCAUUGCACUUCUUGUUGGGAAUUAGUGCAGCAAUUUUUCUGUAGAUAAAAGAACCUCUUAUCUUAUGAAGAGCUGCAUUAAUUACAGCCUGAAAUUCUGUUUCACGCAUCCUCUUUCAGAGCCAAGGAGAGAGCAGAGAAAAUGUGUGCUGUUGGAAAUUUGUACUUCCAUUUUCUUUUUCUUCUUGGAAAAUAAGUUACCUGAAGCUUGGCAUCCGUGAAGGUCUAGGGGGCUUCCGAGGCUAUCAGGCAGCAUCAGUCUUCAGCCGCUAAGCCAAGAAGAUCUGGGAGGGAGUCAGAGAGCCUUGGGCCAGAGUUCCAGGGGCUCUAGGGGGUGAGUUGGACAGUCUGAUUUCCAGUGGGGUCGCAUACAGAUGGGACACGGCUUAGGAGGAAUCCUGGGCUGCAGGCAUUCCUGGGCUGCAGGCAUUCCUUGGCCUGGUGGCCAGAUUUCUGGCACUUGUAGCAAGCUCCUGGGGGAGGUGGGCCUGGAGGAAUGCCUGGCCACUGUGGUUUAGGCAUUUGGAAGUUCUUGUGUGCUGGAGAUGUGGCUGGGGUUUGUCUCACAGUGGAGGCAAGGAAUUGUACAUCUUGAAGGCCAGGUUAAUUAAGUCCUGUUGUGGGGUUUGAGGGCUG
rnacentral:lncRNA from 1 species